UCGAACGCUUUGUGGUUCAACUGAUUUGAAGAGCUUGCUCAGAUAUGACGAUGGACAUUGCAAAGAGUGGCGAACGGGUGAGUAACACGUGGGAAACCUACCUCUUAGCAGGGGAUAACAUUUGGAAACAGAUGCUAAUACCGUAUAACAAUGACAACCGCAUGGUUGUUAUUUAAAAGAUGGUUCUGCUAUCACUAAGAGAUGGUCCCGCGGUGCAUUAGCUAGUUGGUAAGGUAAUGGCUUACCAAGGCGAUGAUGCAUAGCCGAGUUGAGAGACUGAUCGGCCACAAUGGGACUGAGACACGGCCCAUACUCCUACGGGAGGCAGCAGUAGGGAAUCUUCCACAAUGGGCGAAAGCCUGAUGGAGCAACGCCGCGUGUGUGAUGAAGGGUUUCGGCUCGUAAAACACUGUUGUAAGAGAAGAAUGACAUUGAGAGUAACUGUUCAAUGUGUGACGGUAUCUUACCAGAAAGGAACGGCUAAAUACGUGCCAGCAGCCGCGGUAAUACGUAUGUUCCAAGCGUUAUCCGGAUUUAUUGGGCGUAAAGCGAGCGCAGACGGUUAUUUAAGUCUGAAGUGAAAGCCCUCAGCUCAACUGAGGAAUUGCUUUGGAAACUGGAUGACUUGAGUGCAGUAGAGGAAAGUGGAACUCCAUGUGUAGCGGUGAAAUGCGUAGAUAUAUGGAAGAACACCAGUGGCGAAGGCGGCUUUCUGGACUGUAACUGACGUUGAGGCUCGAAAGUGUGGGUAGCAAACAGGAUUAGAUACCCUGGUAGUCCACACCGUAAACGAUGAGUGCU
rnacentral:rRNA from 1 species